rnacentral:rRNA from 1 species
AUGAACGCUAGCUACAGGCUUAACACAUGCAAGUCGAGGGGCAGCAUGGUCUUAGCUUGCUAAGGCCGAUGGCGACCGGCGCACGGGUGAGUAACACGUAUCCAACCUGCCGUCUACUCUUGGACAGCCUUCUGAAAGGAAGAUUAAUACAAGAUGGCAUCAUGAGUCCGCAUGUUCACAUGAUUAAAGGUAUUCCGGUAGACGAUGGGGAUGCGUUCCAUUAGAUAGUAGGCGGGGUAACGGCCCACCUAGUCUUCGAUGGAUAGGGGUUCUGAGAGGAAGGUCCCCCACAUUGGAACUGAGACACGGUCCAAACUCCUACGGGAGGCAGCAGUGAGGAAUAUUGGUCAAUGGGCGAGAGCCUGAACCAGCCAAGUAGCGUGAAGGAUGACUGCCCUAUGGGUUGUAAACUUCUUUUAUAAAGGAAUAAAGUCGGGUAUGGAUACCCGUUUGCAUGUACUUUAUGAAUAAGGAUCGGCUAACUCCGUGCCAGCAGCCGCGGUAAUACGGAGGAUCCGAGCGUUAUCCGGAUUUAUUGGGUUUAAAGGGAGCGUAGAUGGAUGUUUAAGUCAGUUGUGAAAGUUUGCGGCUCAACCGUAAAAUUGCAGUUGAUACUGGAUAUCUUGAGUGCAGUUGAGGCAGGCGGAAUUCGUGGUGUAGCGGUGAAAUGCUUAGAUAUCACGAAGAACUCCGAUUGCGAAGGCAGCCUGCUAAGCUGCAACUGACAUUGAGGCUCGAAAGUGUGGGUAUCAAACAGGAUUAGAUACCCUGGUAGUCCACACGGUAAACGAUGAAUACUCGCUGUUUGCGAUAUACAGCAAGCGGCCAAGCGAAAGCGUUAAGUAUUCCACCUGGGGAGUACGCCGGCAACGGUGAAACUCAAAGGAAUUGACGGGGGCCCGCACAAGCGGAGGAACAUGUGGUUUAAUUCGAUGAUACGCGAGGAACCUUACCCGGGCUUAAAUUGCAGAUGAAUUACGGUGAAAGCCGUAAGCCGCAAGGCAUCUGUGAAGGUGCUGCAUGGUUGUCGUCAGCUCGUGCCGUGAGGUGUCGGCUUAAGUGCCAUAACGAGCGCAACCCUUAUCUUUAGUUACUAACAGGUUAUGCUGAGGACUCUAGAGAGACUGCCGUCGUAAGAUGUGAGGAAGGUGGGGAUGACGUCAAAUCAGCACGGCCCUUACGUCCGGGGCUACACACGUGUUACAAUGGGGGGUACAGAGGGCCGCUACCACGCGAGUGGAUGCCAAUCCCCAAAACCUCUCUCAGUUCGGACUGGAGUCUGCAACCCGACUCCACGAAGCUGGAUUCGCUAGUAAUCGCGCAUCAGCCACGGCGCGGUGAAUACGUUCCCGGGCCUUGUACACACCGCCCGUCAAGCCAUGGGAGCCGGGGGUACCUGAAGUGCGUAACCGCGAGGAGCGCCCUAGGGUAAAACUGGUGACUGGGGCU